AAGUAAUAUAUUGUGCAAAAAGAUAUUUUCUUUUUAUAAAAGUAGAUCUGUGCGUGUAAAGUUCUUUUCUGCUUUAGAACCAAUGUGGUCUUCGUAUGUGUCUUCGUCAUUUGUUUUGGCCGACACAGUUAUCGUUGCCUGAUCCACUAGUAUCAAAUGUAACGUCAAGAAAUGAAUGGAUGUUUCUUCAUAUUCAUAGUCAUAAUUACAAGCAGCAAAAUAUAUGAGCAAAGACAGAAUUUCGAAUUCAUAGUCUAAACGCGAUUGGUGAGAAGGGUUGCGAAUCUUACGCAAAUUAUAUUACGUGCUCACCGGCUUGGCACCGGCUCAGCUGAGCAACUGUAAUGCCGAUAAGCCGAUGUCAAACAGCGUGUCAUGGUCGUGUGCACAGGCGUUUCAACGGAUCCUUUCUCCUUGGCUGUUGCCAGUCGGAAAACGGCGGCGCCGCGUGUCGCUUCAAAAGUUCCAUGACCGGCGUUGAGGUGCGGGAGCAUGCGAACGGGAAAACCUAUGGUGAAAACGUGUGAAGUUGCGAGUUUGUGAAAUUGACGGCAAACUGCCGAGGUCGUCAUACUGUAGGACGCCUCUCGUGGAACGACGAUGAUAAUAUCGCUUCACACGCUUCGGGAAGAAUUAACGUCGCCGAAGGCACUCGAUACAUGGAGCGGCGUCUCCAUUUUGGACUUCCCGUAGAGCUUACGUGGUUAUUUUGUUAUAAGUUUAACGUUAUUCGUCUGUGCGGAGAAAGUGGUGCGAAUUUCCCGGGUUGCCCGAAACUUGUUUGUUGCUCGAGGAAAAAGUGGAAUUAAGUGGUACUCAGACGCAAGAAACGAAGCCUCGUGAACAAAUGCACAUGUGCGACAGCCAACUAUCAAUUAAUUCUGCACGCACGAAGGGAUAUUCAUGGCACUGGAAAUCUACGUUAAACUAACAGUACUUGUUGAACGAGGAACUUUCAUAUAGAGAGACAGGAUUUUUCGGGCGAGUGAACAUUGUGAUAUCUCUAUUACGCUAUUCGCGGGGAACUGUUCCCGGUAUCGUGUUAAAAAUCUGUCGUGAAAAUGCACAGGUUGCACGUGGGCUAACGAAUCGAAACGAGCUGAGCUGAGCUGAGCCGAGUCGAGCCGAGAUUUUACUUGCAUCUGGCAUGCGACAGAAACGGAAAUGCACUCACAAUAACGUGAAUCGCGAGAGGUCUCCGCAUAAAUAAGCGAUAAAUCUGUAACAAAUGUCAGCGUCGAAUUUCGUCGAGGAUUCUACCGUUGAAGUCACGGCAAUUGCUCUUCCGGCAAUUUCGGCACAUCCUGUACUGCAUUGCUACGCGAAUUCACGAAUCGGUCAUGAAACCGAUGUUACGAAACCACUAGCAAUUUGUAUAAUUACCGCAACAGUCGCAGUCGCGUGUGUGUUACCUCGCAAAAGUACUAUUGUUCGCGGUUGAGGCUGCAAUGAGGUUGUCAUCUGUUGUAACGGUAGUUUCUAUUAGCGACGUAGUGCCCGUAGCACAAUUCAAACGCUAAUGGUUAUUUCGGAUCAAUAUGGAAUUAUUUUCAAAAUUCAGUCGCGCGACAUACGAGCCGUAGUACACGUAUUUAAGGAUCGGGCUUUCAAUUUUGGCGUUUCGUCGACAAAAAUACCGGUUGUUCCGCUUGGCUAUCGUACUGUUAUUGGCUGUUUUUCGAUUGUUAAUCUCACUUUCAUUGCGGAGACUAUAAACGUUAUUUCACUGUGAUCACAAUGUAAAUUAUUUCCCACGAAGAUGCUUUCACUAAAAUUGCCUUAGUCGCCGCACGUUGCGUCGCCCGCGUGAUUGCUUCAGUCGGAACGCUUUGCGUCUGCAUGUCUGAAUGUCUGCGAGCGCGCUUUGUAUGUCUCGCGAAAGUUCCUGGUUCAGCAGAUACUGCGAUUUCGCGGAAGUAUGAGAAUUAAGAGGCGAUACAUUCGCGGAAUCUGUUAAUUAUAAUACGCUCUGCGAAUUUAUUUGUGCGCUUGAGCAUUACAUUACGCGCGAGUAAUACAAAGCGAAAUUGGUGAUUUCAAUGCGUGUUUGCGGCAAUGGACAAGGGAUGAGGUCGACCGAUUCGCCGAGAUACGGAGCGAUUAAUUAGCAUCCGGUAAAAUCCAUCAAGAUUGAUGCAUAUAUAUAUAUAUAUAUAUAUAUUGCUUACUGUGCCGGUAUUAUAUUCUGCUUUGUCUUUGUCCCAGUUUCAAUAGGAUUUAAUCAGCUUACAGAGUAUGAUACGUUUACACAGGAUGCGUAAUAAUAGAUAAGACAGUUUGUUCGUGAUUGUUACAUCCGAACGCCCGAAAAUUGGAGCGCGCUAUUGAACUUUUGUGUAAAUUUAUUAUUGUAUAAUGUAGCACUCGAUGCAAAUUCCACCGAUAUCUACUCCGUCGUUAUCUUUAUACUUUUUAGCCAUUCACCGGGAUUUAUUUAACAUGUUUUCUAAAUUAUUCUAAACUGGUUUUCAAGUAUAGUCUUGUAGAGAUCAUUAUGUGAUGUUGCAAUGUAUCGAAUCGAAUUCCUUUAUGAACUGGGUUACUUUUUCAAAUUUAUCUCUACUCGGGAAUAGAGAGUUUAAAAAUAGACUACGUGGCCAAAUAAUCUAUAUAUAUA